rnacentral:rRNA from 1 species
UACAGAGGUCUCGAGCGUUGUUCGGAUUCAUUGGGCGUAAAGGGUGCGUAGGUGGCGCUGUAAGUCGGGUGUGAAAUCCUGAGGCUUAACCUCGGAACUGCAUUCGAUACUGCGGUGCUUGAGGACUGGAGAGGAGACUGGAAUUCAUGGUGUAGCAGUGAAAUGCGUAGAGAUCAUGAGGAAGACCAGUGGCGAAGGCGGGGUCUCUGGACAGUUCCUGACACUGAGGCACGAAGGCCAGGGGGAGCAAACGGG